GCUAGCUCUGCAGGUAAGUGCAGUACAGGUCUGUAGGUGUGUGAGUGUGUGCUAGCUCUGCAGGUAAGUGCAGUACAGGUCUGUAGGUGUGUGAGUGUGUGCUAGCUCUGCAGGUAAGUGCAGUACAGGUCUGUAGGUGUGUGCUAGCUCUGCAGGUAAGUGCAAUACAGGUCUGUAGGUGUGUGAGUGUGUGCUAGCUCUGCAGGUAAGUGCAGUACAGGUCUGUAGGUGUGUGUGUGAGUGCUAGCUCUGCAGGUAAGUGCAGUACAGGUCUAUAAGUGAGUGAGUGCUAGCUCUGCAGGUAAGUGCAGUACAGGUCUAUAAGUGAGUGAGUGCUAGCUCUGCAGGUAAGUGCAGUACAGGUCUAUAAGUGAGUGAGUGCUAGCUCUGCAGGUAAGUGCAGUACAGGUCUGUAGGUAUGUGAGUGAGUGCUAGCUCUGCAGGUAAGUGCAGUACAGGUCUAUAAGUGAGUGAGUGCUAGCUCUGCAGGUAAGUGCAGUACAGGUCUAUAAGUGAGUGCUAGCUCUGCAGGUAAGUGCAGUACAGGUCUGUAGGUGUGUGAGUGAGUGCUAGCUCUGCAGGUAAGUGCAGUACAGGUCUGUAGGUGUGUGAGUGAGUGCUAGCUCUGCAGGUAAGUGCAGUACAGGUCUGUAGGUGUGUGAGUGAGUGCUAGCUCUGCAGGUAAGUGCAGUACAGGUCUGUAGGUGUGUGAGUGAGUGCUAGCUCUGCAGGUAAGUGCAGUACAGGUCUAUAAGUGAGUGUGUGCUAGCUCUGUAGGCAAGUGCAGUACAGGUCUGUAGGUGUGUGAGUGAGUGAGUGCUAGCUCUGCAGGUAAGUGCAGUACAGGUCUAUAAGUGAGUGAGUGCAUGCUAGCUGUUGUGUUAAUACAGAAGAACAUUAGCCAUGUCUGGUUUAAACAAAUUAACCUCUUGUUUGCUGCAUUUCUUGCACCACCAUUUCCCUUAUUUAGAGGAGAGAAUAUAGUUUUUAGUCUGCAGACAAAUCUAGCCACGGUAAUUCUAUUAGUAAAAAGUGCAUUGUUUUACUGUUACCUGAUAAAGACAAUUAGCUACAGAUAUGUAGCAGCGUUAAACACGGUCAUUAUUUGUUUGUAUAAAGACAAUUAGGGACAUAUGUAUCAGGGUUAGCCUUGAGAAGUCAGCAGGUGCAUUUGCAAGUCUGAGAAUUAGAAAAGCCAUAAUUUUCUGAGCUAAAAUUACAUGAAAAGGGGGCAAAACAAAUAAUGAAAGUAUAUUGCACAGUUUUUUUACUGCACGUAAUUAAAGGAGUCACUGUAUCAGGGGCUCUACAUAUUUUGGGAUGAAAACAGUAAAAACCCACCCGAGCCCCCACAUGGUAUUUGAGCACAAAUGAAAACUGAAUGGGCUGUGCCAUUGUGUCAUUAUCUGUGACAUGCGUCAUUGUCACUGCAGCCCCUGUCACUGUCUGUCAAAGCCAAGAGAAAGCACAAUGCUAGGGAGAAGUCCCGGGGGUUUCACCAGACAUGUGACCCUGCGACAGCUGCCUGUAUAUGGGCACAAAGUGCUCAAGGUAACAAAUGUUACGGGAUUCCCAGGCAGCAAAAUAUUAGCAACAUAUUUACCCCAAGAGAGCAGUGACCGUAACCAAAUUCACUGUCUAAAUCUUUAUAAAAUAGUAAAAAGAGUGCAGUAUCUCACAGGUGUGAAGGUGUGUGAGUGAGUGCUAGCUCUGCAGGUAAGCACAGUACAUCACAGGUCUGUAGGUGUGUGAGUGAGUGCAGUACAUCACAGGUCUGUAGGUGUGUGAGUGAGUGCUAGCUCUGCAGGUAAGCACAGUACAUCACAGGUCUGUAGGUGUGUGAGUGAGUGCUAGCUCUGCAGGUAAGCGCAGUACAUCACAGGUCUGUAGGUGUGUGUGUGCGCGUGUGAGAG